AAUGAAGCCGGGAAACCGGUCCUUCGAACCCUUGAUUAUAAUAAUUUGUUGCUUUAGUGGGCCGCGCAAGCACCGGCUUCGGCUGGAUCGUGCCCGCCAGAGGACCACAACUCCGUAUCAAAUGUCGUCUGAGUACUAUAAAAUAGUUAAAACUUUCAACAACGGAUCUCUUGGUUCU
rnacentral:misc_RNA from 1 species